UCGAUGGCAAAAUGGCAAUGUCAUAGGGGUAUUUUAAUUUUAAUAAAAAAAUGAAAAUAGUUUCUACAUCUACAUCUACAUCUACAGUAAAAUACUAGUACUAGUAGUAGAGAGGAAUAGUAGAAGUGUAGAAGUAAAUGAAGGAAGAAGCAAAGGUGAUGGUGACGUGGUGUGUAGGUUAUGUGGUGAAAGGGGAUGCCAGGUGUCUCAUUUGAGGGAACAAAAAUGCUUUUUCUGUUUCUCUUUUGUGUUGUGUGGUGAUAGAGCCUCAUAUAUAUCAUACGUACCUCUUUCGGAUUCGGAUGUUGGCGAUAUUUUUAUAGCCUUGCAAAUUUGGAAGCAACGCGGUGGCGCCACGUGGCAAGCAAAGCAUCGUGGAGAUUCCGAUUUGCUUGCGUGGCUUGAUUUUAUUCACUGGGUUCACACUAGGCCAUGUGGGAUAUAUGUGGAUGGAUGGAUGUGCUCUUCUCCACCUGAUUUGAUUCUCUCUCUCUCUCUUAUAUCAUCGACCACACCCAACCCAUAAUUUAUCAUCACCAACUCCAACCCUUCCUUUUAUUCAUUUCGCACACGCACUCGCGGAUUUUGGAAACUGCAGUCACGCGCUCUUGUGGGACCCACACCCACGUGGUCUAUGAGUCUAUGGCAUUUUUUUGCUUUUUCCAUUGGUUAAUUCCAGUAUUCUCCGCUGCUUCCUCUAGCUACCAGUCUACCACACCCCAUGCUCUUGUGGGUGUGUUUUAUUUUAUUUCGUCUUCUUUUUUUCUUAAUAUAAUUAUUAAUUAUUAUUCUGUGUGCGGUGAUGGAGAGGAAACAACGCCGUUUUCGUAAUGAGAAUGGAGUAGUAGUGUAGUACCGAUUCCAAGUCUAGAAUAGCCGUUUUUCAACGUUGGUUCGUCAACUCUUGCUAGUGCACGGAGACUUGAGCUUCGAUUGCUAAGGAAAUUGACGAAUCUACUGAAGUAGUAUUAUAUUUGAACUUCCCCAGCUGAUACAACCUUUUUGUCUGUAUGUAUCUAUUGACCUGUCUUGCAAGUUAUGCACAUGAUGAAGCAUGAGUGCAUGACUGUAUCAGCAAUUCAGCGAGGACGAUAUAUAUAAUUCAUUCGUUUUGUUUCUCGUAUAUAGCUAACGUGUGUGUUGCUUUUAUUUUUAUUUUCGUAUAUGUAGGACACAAUAUGGGAUACACUGAUACACUAAUAGGAAUUGCGUUAA